rnacentral:lncRNA from 1 species
GAGGAAUCUUAGCCACUGGAUCACCAGGGAAGUCCUGAAGGAGAUGGGAUAGCCAGGCCAGGCCAGGAAAGGAGGAGCUACAAAGUCACCUGGCAAAAGGCACCUAUAAAGGGAAAGGUAAAGCACGGUGGGCCCAGAUGCAAGUUGUUGCAGCAUCGCAGAGUAAUCUCUGAUUGAGGAGAGAAGACUGAAGAAUUGUUUGACUCCAAACCAGGAA